CUAAGCCCUAAUUUCCUCCUUCCCCCUGCCUUCAUUAAAUCUUCCCUUUUGUGUUCGUGGAUCUCCCUACUGUCGUUAUCAAAUUUUCCCCCAAACUCUUUUCUCGCAUCAUAAUCUUUCCCUUACUUCGUGUUUGUUUUGCUUUGUGUCUUCUCCUGCUUGGGCUGAGCGUCAAGGUCAAGGUGGCAAGGUCGAGGCGAAGAGGUUGAGGCGGCGAGGACUUUAUUGAGGCGAUUUUUAUCACUUUCAUUUCCAACCCCUCAAACUCAAAUCCUCUCUGGUAUGUUCAUCUUAUCUCUUCAAUCUUCAUCUUAUCUCUUCAAUCACUUUAUUCGCUCAGUGUUCUUUUCCUCUUACCCGAGUCUCUCAUUCCUAAUACUUCCUAGUAUGUAUUCAUCUCUAUAUAUAUCUUCAUUUUUCACUUUAACCUAAUCUUCAUCGUUUCUAAAGAGCAUCUCCUUCAGGUUUGUGAUUUCUAUGUUUAUGCUAUUUUUGCAAUUCGUAUUAUAUCAAAAGCAUCUCCUUCAUGUGCAGCAUCAACUCACCAUCUUGUGUGAAGAACAGCCGAUUCACACGAGUUUCUUACAUUUCGUCACAGGAUGAGUUCCUUUUACUUUCCCAAAACUCAUUUCUGUAACCACAUCACGAGUUUUCGACUUGUGAUCAAUAUUCUGUUUUUUUUUUUUGAAAAAUAAUUGGAAAUACAUUCUAACUUGUCUAGUUUUUUGAAACUUCUUACACUUCAUAGUUAUAUUUCUUUUUUCUUUUCAUUUUUUAUCUCAUUUUUUUGUGUGCCUCAGUUCGGUACUGGAAACUGUUGUUUAUCUGAUGUCUUAAGGUGAGUUUUGUGUGAAAUUAGGUGAGUUUUGUGUGAAAUUAGAUUAGGAUAAGCAGUGGUUGUCUUGUCCUAAUUUUAAGAGAAAUUAUAAAUGGUCAAGGGGGAUGAUUUUAAUUUAGUGGCAGAAUAUUUUUAAAUUUGUUUUUUCUUUUGAACUUGGUUCUAUUAAGUUUGAUACGUUGUCUACACUGUAUUUUUUUUUAUAUGAUAAUCAGUGCAUUUCGUAUCCUAAUUUUAAUAGAAAUUAAAAUGUUUUUGAAUACUCUCCAGUAAAUGGAUGAGGGGUGAUUUUGAUUCAGUUGUAGAAUUGGUUUAACUUUGUUUUUUCUUUUAAAUUUGGUUAUGGUCAGUUUGAUCUGUUAUUUACAAUUGUGUACACUGUAUUUUUGUAUUUUAUAUUGCUUAUUUGUCUAUUAUGCUUGUUGAAACUGAAUUUUAGUUCAUGAUUCAUGUUACUAUUCAAAUACUAUGAAGGACUUCAAAAGUGUGUUGGACUUUAUUUAGAAGAUGGACAGUACUCACCUGAUCAAAUAGACCAGUUAAAUUCUUUGUACAAAACACUUGUACAACAAUACAAGUGGUCUUCUACUGUUAAGGUAAUGCUUUGUAUUGUUAUUGCAGUUGUUUUUACCUGUUAUUUAACAUCUGCCUCAUGUAUUACAGUUAUCACUUAACUAAUACUUUUGCCAUGUUAUUAGUGUGAAAUAUAUGUUUGUGUCUUUGUAUCACAAUGAGUUGUAUAUAUUCAUUACAUCCUUUCUCUGAAAAUAGGUUAGUCAUUCAAAUAUUGCUUUGUUGAUAUUUAAUUUAUUAUGAGAUGGAAUUUUCAAUUUUUCUUGCUUUAUGUUAUAUAGUGAGAAAACUUGGAUUUAGUAUUUAUUAAUAUAAUAAGUGUGUGAGCAUAGUGUUUGUUUUUUUUUUCUCUUGUAUAACAAUUUAGGAAGAUAUAUGUGGAUCAAGGAAUCCUUUUUUUGUGCUCCACUUGUAUAUUUCUUAGCGACAUGAGUGUUAUUAUUGGAGUGUGGUUUAUUUAAUGAAAAACUUUCCAUUUUGUCUUUUUAUUUGCUAGAGAAUACCGCUAGAUUUUCUACAUGGUAACAAAUUUUGAGAAGCAGCAAACAAUUAUAUUAGGCCACUCUUAACAAAGGUUUACAAAAUUCCUUUUCAUAUUGUAUUAUGUCUAGCUAAGUUGUCUAAUAGUUGAUUAGGAUUUCUUUUGGUGUUGUUUCUAGGGCGUCCUUCUCUAUUAUUUGAUUUAUCAUCUUUGUACAAUCACCCUGGGAAGGUUAGUCUUGUCACAUAUAUUCACACUACUGGGCGUUAGAGAUUUCGUAUGCUUAUUUUGUUGUGCCCUUUAUUUAUGCAGCUGAAUGUCACAUAUAUUCACUUGAAUUCAAUAUAUAGAAAUAGGACAUUAACUAAUUUAUUUUUAUUCAUUAGUGUUUUACUUAGAAAUAGAAUUAAUUAAUUUCUACUUAGUGUUUUAUUCAUUCACCAUUUACACUAGUACAAAAACAACGUACAACGUCGAAUAUGUUUUGUCUUUCACGCCGAAUUCGAGAACGAGGUUAUAUUGAGACACGUUAAAUUGACGUCGAAUUUAAAAAAUUCGAUGUUAAUUUGACGUCAAAUUUUGUCAAUAUACGACGUUAAUUUAACGUCGAAUUUUGUCAAUAUACGACGUUAAUUUAACCUCGAAUUUUGUCAAUAUAUGACGUUAAUAAAUUUUUUUUUUAUUUUUUUUAAUUAAUUGUAAUCCUUUUUUACAACUCUAUGAGACCUAAAAAGCAAAACAAUGAACGAUAAUAUAGAAUCAACAACAAAUAACAAUAACAGACAACAAAUAAGUUUAAUCAAACAACAAACAAGUUUAACAAAUAAGUUCUUCAAAACGAAAACAAAAACGAAAACUAACCUUCAAAAGGUGGGUUCAUCGGAAUAAAGUGUUGCCACCAAUGAGAGAGAAAACAGAAUGUGCCUAUGAAGGACAAGAACACGAAAAUAAUCGGUGAAAACAAAACGAAAAUCAUACAUAAAGUAGUUUAUUAACAUACAUUUGUAUCAAAUGAAAGAAAUAUUACAUGUGAUGGUCGUCAAACUUCGUUCGAGAAAAGUUUGAGUAGAGAAGAGGGUCUCGCGUGCUAAGAUAAAGUGAAUGAAUUUUCAAUCUCCUACUCAAAUUUUUAUUGAACUCACUAACCUUUUGACAUCUAACGCUGAGACAUUCAACGUUUUAUAUCCUUUUACGUCUAAUUAUAAUUCUAAAUGAAGUUUAAUAAUUGCAUUUAUUUACAAAAUUGCCACCGGUCAUUUUUAACAUUGGCUAUUGAGUGGUUAGACGUUGAAUGCGUGACGUUAUAUAUUGUUUUUGCACUAGUGUUACUUUUAACAUUAAGUAGGUGUACUACUUAGUAUUAAAUUAUUCCAAACAACAAUUUCAUAACUAAAGUAGGGGAACUACUUAGUUUUGAAUUCUUCAAAUCCAUAAACUUAGUACUACUUAGUUUUAUAACCAAGUUAGUAAAUUCAUCUUAUGUAGUGUUUCGUUGAAUAUCGUCACUUAUUCUAACUUUCCAAUCCUCUUGGCAUGAACAUAGGUUGUUUUAAUGGACAAAUCAUGGAUAGACAUGCCUCGAAAUACAAGUAAAUAUAUGAGAGGAUUGGAUACCUUCUUGGACUUCGCAUUAACUAAUAGUGGUGCUAGGGGAAAGAUAAUAUGUCCAUGUCAGAAAUGCAAUUUUAAGAAAUGGCAAAGUCGUGAAGAAGUAUAUGAUCACUUAAUUGUUAAACCUUUUCCAAAAGGGUAUACAGUGUGGCUUCUACACGGAGAGAGAAGAGUAAAUGACGAAGCACCUCAAGUAAUGGUCGAAGCUCCUCAAGUAAUGGCCAAAGAAGAUGGUGGAAGAGUUGAAAAUAAUGAUAAUAUGUAUGAAAUGAUUAAUGAUGUAUUUGCACAUCAUUGCUAUAACAACGACAUGGCGGAUGAUGACGAGAUGGGUGCAAAGUCAAGCCAUACUACAAGUCAUGAUGGAACCGAUAUUUUUGAUAGGUAUUGCAAGGAAGUGGGAAGAAAUGGUGAAGCGUUAUUGUUCUUCAGUUUUCUAUUUCUCAUUAUAUUUAUAACAUACUUAUUAUGCAUUUGUCCAUUUUCAUAAGAAAGAGAGUGUGUGUGUGUGCAGAGUUUGCAGAGGAAAAGUUUGUAUAGCUACCCAUAAGAAGACUCGAUGGAGCUUUUGUCAGUGAUGAGGCAAGAGAAAUUGGAGAAAAAAUUGAAGCAUAUGAAUCUACAAUAUCAUCGACUCAAUCAAAAGAAAUAUCCAGUUCAGAUUCAUUGGCUCAUGCUUUAGGAAUCAAAAAGCAUUGUGGAUGCGUUCGUGGUUUAGGUUUGGGUCCUUGACCAUCUAAAGUCUUUGGAGUCCAUGCUCGUUCUCAUAGUGGAUCAUCUUCAGCUUCUCCUUCUAAUAUUACAUUACAAACUUAGGUAUCUUCAUUGACAACACAAGUCAAUGAAACGAAGGCAGUGAUAUCAUUAUUGCUACAAAAUUAUCUGGGUUAAUUGCCUUUACAGUUUGCUACAUUUCAGCCAUCAUCGAUAAUAAUUGCUAAAUUUAUUUGUAUGAUUUUUUUUAAAGAUUUAAACUCUCAUUUGGUCCUCGUAUUUGUGUGUCAAUCUCAAGUGGGUCCUCAUUUUUUUUCGGUCUCAAUCGGGUCCAUAAACUUGUAAAAAUGAGUCAAUUAAACCCUUUCCGUUAAGUUAUCACUGACGUCGUCUGCCUGUGAUGACGUGGUGCACAAAAAUUAGCUCAGUUAUAAGGAUUUAAAUAUAUGGAUAUUAGUAUUUAAAAAAAACCUUUUGACGUGGUAGGGAAUGAGGGAAUUAGGGAUUUUUAUUGGGGUUUUUUAACUGAAACAGAAAUACUUAAAGGGAAUUAGGGAUUUCAUGAGUUAAGGAUUUUCAUUUGGUGAGUGAGUGUUAGAAUUAGGGCUCGCAAGAAUUUUCGAAGACGAAGACAAUCACGUGGUGGUGAACGAACCAAAUUGAAAGUGGACACGAGUUAAGGUUAGUUUGCUAUGUUUUUGCGUUUACGAAUAUUGCUAUCUUGUUGCGUUGUGGUCCCGAUUUUGCUAUCUUGUUGCGUUUAGGUUAUAAUGGGUUUGCUAUGUUGUUCUAUGAUGGUUCUUGAUUUUGGUAUGUUAUUGUAUGUUCAAAUGUAUGCACUGUUGUGGUCCCAAAAUUGCAUUUAUCAAUUGUUUAGAAGUAGUGGUCCCCUUUUCUGUCUAAGUAUUUCCUUAGUGGGGAUGUUAGUUUGUUCCCUUGUCCCCUUGAUGUGUGACUGUUUCCUUAGUUAGUAGGGAGUGAAAUCAUAAUAUCCCCCCCAAUGUACAGGUGUUAAAAGGUUGUGCUUCAAACAGAAUAUAGCAUGGAUGAACGUAUUAAAGUUGUGGUCCACCAUUGUGGCCAUUUUGUUAGUGAUGAUAAUAGAAAUUUAAAAUUUGAUGGAGAGAUAGUAGAAUGGUCUUGUGAUCCACACCUGGGGUGCUAUUUUGGAAUAUUAGCUUUAGUAAAAGACUUAGGUCAUAUAGACAUAAAAGAACUUUGGUACAGUUUAGGAGGUAAGUCAGUGGUGCCAGAUAAGUUAGAAUUAUUGAUUUAUGAUAGGGGUGUUAUGCAUAUGUUGAAUAUUGCAAAGUUAAAUGAUGAAGUUCAUUUGUACGUGGUUCAUAAUACCAUGGAACCACAAAUAAUAGAAAUGAUUGAUUGGGUUGAUGGUGAUGUUAAUGAAGAAGGUGAUGUUGCAAGACAAGUGGAAGGUGAGGUUGAAGUUGGAACAUAAAUGAAGGAGGAUCACAGCGAAGGUGAGGUUGAGGCUGAGGCUGAAGUUGGAACAGAAAUGGAGCAGGUUGAGAGUGAAGUUGCUAAACAGAUUGAACAUGUCGAGAAUGGUGAAGUACAUGAUGUAGAGGAGGCUGAGGUACAUGAUGUAGAGGAGGUUGAGGUACAUGAUGUACAUGAUUUUGAGCUAGAAGAUGUAGAAGAAGAUGAGGUUUAGGAUGAGGAUGACCAUGUAGAUGAGGAUGAGGAUGAGGCUGGAGAUGAUGGUCAGAAUGAGGGUAGAGAUGAUGCUCAGGAUGAGGAUGAGGAUGUAGAUGAUCGUGAGGACGAAAAUGUAUAGGAUGAUGAGGAUGAAGAUGUAGAUGAGUCUGUCAGUGAAGAAAGUCUAGUUGAUGUCACCAUUGAGUGUGACACUGGUACUUCUAAAGGAAAUGUAAGGGAAGAACAACCUUGCACUCCAGUAGGUGAGUGUUCAAGGAAAAUUGAUAAUGAUUCCAUGCAUGAUGUUCAUGGCCUGUCUGACAUUGAGUGGAUGUCCGAUGAGUUGGAUAAUGAUCCAAAUAGUGAGGAGGAUGAUGAUUCCAUUCCGAGAACUUUGUUUCCCACAUUUAGCAUGCCUAAUAGUUUGGGGGAAUAUAAAUGGGAAGUAGGAACCUAUUUCACUAAGAAAAAGGAAUUCACAAAGGUCAUUAGGACUUAUGCACUGAGUAAUGGUAGAAAUUUAAAAUUCAUGAAGAAUGACAAGAAGAUGGUUACUGUAAAAUGUUUGGGGGGCAAGGGGAAAUGAAAAUGGUAUGCUUAUUGUGCCUAUAGGUCUGGUGCCAAGUCAUGGCAGCUAAGAAAAGUGAUUGAUAAUCACAGCUAUAAUAUAAAUUUCAAUGUGAAGUUGAUGACUUCUAAGUGGUUGAGUCAAAGGAUGGAAAAAUCUGUAGAGAGAACCCUAAUAUGAAGGUCAUGGACAUUAGGGACAAAGUAAGUAGGAAAUGAAAUGUAGGAAUCUCUAGUAAUAUGGAUUUUAGGGCAAGAGCCAUGGAAAAAGAUAAUAUUGAGGGGUCAUUCAAUGAACAAUAUAGAAGAAUCUAUGAUUAUGGUCAUGAGCUUCUCAGAGCAAUUCCAUGUUCAACAGACAAAAUAAAGGUUGAAAGUAGUAAUGAUAAGUGUUUAUAUUCAAUAUAAUUUAUGUAUACUUGAAAGAAUGCAAAGAUAACUUCAUUAGUUGUAGACCCAUCAUUGGGUUGGAUGGAUGCUUUUUGAAAGGCAGGUAUAGAGGGGAGUUACUAACAUCAGUUGGAAGAAAUGGAAAUCAACAAAUUGUGCCCAUUGCAUAUGUUGUUGUUGAGGUAGAAAACAAAGACUCCUGGACUUGGUCCUUAGAGCUUCUCAUUGAGGACCUUGGUGGGGAAGUUGUUUGUGGAGCAUGUACAUUUAUUUCAGACCAACAAAAAGUCAGUCAGUCAAAACAAAUGUUAAUUACAAUCUAUUUCACAUAUAACUCAAUUCACUUGAGUAUUUUAAAUUGUAGUGUCUUUUGCCAACUAUUCAAGAUCUUCUACCUAGGGUAGAACAAAGAUUUUGUGUUAGACAUUUGUAUUCAAACUUCAGAAAGAAAUAUCCUAGAAAAGACCUUAAACGUCUAAUGUGGAGGCCAGCAACAACCACAUAUCAACAACUAUAGAAGGCUGAAAUGAGGAAAAUUAAAAAGAUUAAUGUAAAGGCAUUUAAAUACUUGAUUGCAAUUCCACCUAGGUAUGUAUUCACUUUUCUCCAUACCUUAUUCUUCUUUUAUUGUUAUAUUUUCUUUGACAGUUAUAUUUACUGACAUUUAAAUCUCCUAGGUUUUGGUCAAGAUCUAGAUUCACCCCUACAUCACAAUUUGACACUCUUGUCAACAACAUGGGUGAGGGCUUCAAUAGUCUGCUAGUUCGUAGUAGGUCUAAGCCAAUUAUCACCAUGUUAGAAGACAUUAGGGUUUACAUCAUGAAGGGAUUGGCUACGAACAAGACAAAGAUGGCAUUAUAUCAAGGUUUUGUCUGCCUUAAGGUUCUCAAAAGAUUUUAAAAGCAGUCAUGGUUGACCAGAUAUUGGUUACCAAGAUGGUCAUCAGAUCAAUUAUUUGAAGUCAUACACAUUUCACAAUUUGGGGAGCAAUUUGUUGUCAAUCUUGACAACAAGGAUUGUAAUUGUAGAAAAUGGUUAAUUACUGGCAUUCCUUGCACUCACGCCAUUACUACAAUGAAAUUAUUUAAUUUAAAUGCAGAAAACUACAUUGGGCAUUGGUUUAGGAAGUCUACUUAUGAAGAGACCUACAACACCAUCAUUUAUCCUAUUAAUGGUCAACUUGUUUGGGACAUAACUUCAUAUCCAGAUGUAUUACCCCCAAAAAAGAGGACAAUGUUAGGAAGGCCCAAGAAAAAACGAAGACGAGAGGCUUGGGAGUUGAAGAAGAAUGACACUGAAUUAAGAAAGGGUGGGAGCAAAAAAACACGUGCUCUCUGCAAAGAACUUGGACACAACAAAAGAUCUUGUUCACAACGACCUACAACACCAAAUGUGCCUCCCGCAACAACAGAUGUGCCUGCUGACCAACCUACUCAACAAACACAACUCACAAUACCUCCACAACAGAUCUACCUAUUAGUCAGGAGUCUAUUGUGCCUCCUUCUGAUCAAUGAAGUCAUAUUUAGUUCCAUUUUGAACACAGUCUUUUAAAUGUCAUGUAAUCUUUACUGAUGAAGGAACAAUGUAAUAUCAGUUUUUUUUUGUGUAAUUUCAUAAUGUAAGACAGAUGUGCCUAUUAGGUUUCUUUUGUUAUGUUAUGCACUGAGUAAGGCAAUGUUGUUAUCAAGUAUUUUUUUUA